rnacentral:rRNA from 1 species
AUGCUUCAUGGAGAGGAGAAGCUGCUCCGAUCCCAUCUGCUGAAGGAGGAUGCCCACCAUCCAAGGUGCUCGACAUCACCGCCAUCUGUUGCCUGCCAAGAGCGAAGAUGUCUGUCUGAUAGGCAAAGCAGACAUAGCAAAGCUUCUUGUACGUAUUCGGAGAGGAUGCCUGUUGAUGAUCAGACUGGUAGCGCACGUUUACGGACACCAGUGGGCAGAACCGCAGAAGUCACAACAUUGGACGCAAACGCAAUCAGCAACGGCGACCAGACGUGCAGUGACCCGACGAUUGGCGACGUCUGCAGUACUGGGCGAGUGACGGACGACUGA